AGUUUUUUCAUGACAUAGUAUAAUAAAUACAGUAUUAAUAAUUGUAACUUUUGAUCACUAUGUGUAGUAUUUAUAGACAAAUCCAAAAUAAACCACUCUAAUAUUAAAGCUACAAUUCUAAAGUCCUCACCUUUUUUAGCUCACCAUUUAGUUUUAAAUAAAUAAAAAGUAUUUCAGGUGAAGUAAUUGUUACCUAAUUUAAUUUUCAUACUUUUCAGCUGAGGAACAGUCCAAUCAGAUACCGGACAUAUCAUCUGUGGGAUUCUUCCCUCCACAAGAGCAACAUCACCAUGUCCCAAACCACGAGCCACCACAACAUCGAUCAUCAACUGCUCAAGGUAAAUGCCUUAUGGUUACUACACUGUAAUAACUUAAUUAAAUAUAUAGAUGAGAGAGUUUAAUAUACAACACUUUGUAUUAUUUUGUACAAAGUGUGUAUUGCACCAAAAAAACUGCAUGAAUUUUUAAAAUGAAAAAAUAUAUGUAUUUCUGAAUGUAUUUUAUUUUUCCAGAUACAAUGGGGUUGGCCACGAACAGCAACCGUGCGACUCCUUUACGGCGGCCCAGACAAAGAUGAAAUCGCAGCAAUGAAGUACCCGUUUAGGCAUUAACUAUAGAGGAGCGACGGAUCGCAGCCGAGGAGCGUCGUCUCGCAUUGGAGGAGAGCAAUGCGGACACGCUUACAAGGUUGUGUAAUACGCAGGACGCCAUACUAGGAGUGUUACAACAACUUGUACAAACAUUGCAUGGAAAUAUUCAAACUGAAUAGGAGACUAUUCAGU